GUGAAGAUUUGGGCAGGCCAUACGGACGCCAAAAAAGUGUCCCUGGCCGCCUACACCCACUAUACAUCCACAAACCCGUGUGCACUGUCUUGGAGAAAGGCUUCUUGAGAAGUUUUGUGGCCUCUCUUGGGGUCUUUCUUCGCUACAAACUCGAAUGG
rnacentral:misc_RNA from 1 species